rnacentral:rRNA from 1 species
CCCUUUGAUGCUCUGGGCGGUACGCGCGCUACACUGGUUUAUAUAACGUGUAAUUUGGACGAUAGUCUGUAUAAAUCACUAAUAUAAAACCGUGAAUGGGAUAGUUUAUUGCAACUUACAAACUUUAACUAGGAAUCCCUUGUAGAAGUAGUGAAUUAUACUGCUUCGAAUACGUCCCUGCCGAUUGUACACACCGCCCGUCGUUUCUUCCGACUGGUACUCAUUGUGAAUUGCGAGGAGAUUCUGUCAAAUCGUUGUAAAUGCUGGGUAUUGGAGGAAGAAAAAGUCGUAACA